CUUUCACAGCCACUGACACGCCGGCAGCACAAUGAUGAUGUCACUGAUUCUACUGCUGGCCACCCUGGGGCUCCUUGUUCAGGAUUCAUCAGGAGAAAUCAUCCUGACUCAGUCUCCUGGAUCUCAGUCUGUUGCUCCAGGACAAACUGUCUCCAUCACGUGUAAAACCAGUACAAGUGUAAGUGACUACCUCCACUGGUACCUUCAGAAACCUGGAGAAGCUCCUAAACUCCUGAUUUAUUCAGCUACAACUCGUCAGUCUGGAGUUUCACAUCGUUUUAGUGGAAGUGGAUCUGGGACUGACUUCACUCUGACCAUCAGAGGAGUUCAGGCUGAAGAUUCAGGAGUUUAUUACUGUCAGCAGGGUUACAGCACACCGUACACGUUCGGUGGAGGAACCAGACUGGAUGUUGGAAGUGAUGUCCGUCCCACCCUGACGGUGCUGCCCCCCUCCAGAGAGGAGCUGCAGCAGGGGAAGGCCACGCUCAUGUGCCUGGCCAACAAGGGCUUCCCCUCAGACUGGAGUCUGGCCUGGAAGGUGGACGGCAGCAGCAGCAGCAGCAGCAGCAGCUGGGAGGAGAGCAGGAGCCCCGGGGUGCUGGAGAAGGACGGCCACUACAGCUGGAGCAGCACCCUGAACCUUUUGUUUCCAAGUUGA